CGACGAGUUUGAUCCUGGCUCAGGAUGAACGCUAGCGGGAGGCCUAAUACAUGCAAGUCGAGCGGUAGUCACGCCUUGGCGUGAUGAGAGCGGCGCACGGGUGAGUAACGCGUACAUGACCUACCUUUAAGACUAGGAUAGCCCUGGGAAACUGGGAUUAAUACCGGAUGUGAUAAUGGGAAUAAAGUUUCAUUAUUAAAGAUGAGUCGCUUAGAGAUGGGUGUGCGUUUGAUUAGCUAGUUGGUAGGGUAACGGCCUACCAAGGCGACGAUCAAUAGGGGGCGUGAGAGCGUGGCCCCCCACACGGGUACUGAGACACGGACCCGACUCCUACGGGAGGCAGCAGUAAGGAAUAUUGGUCAAUAGACGGAAGUCUGAACCAGCCAUCCCGCGUGCAGGAUGAAGGUCCUAUGGAUUGUAAACUGCUUUUAGCAGAGACGAAACGCUUUCAUUUAUGGGAGUCUGACGGUAUCUGCAGAAUAAGCACCGGCUAACUCCGUG
rnacentral:rRNA from 1 species